GCAAGUCGAACGGCAGCAUGGGACUUCGGUCCUGAUGGCGAGCGGCGCACGGGUGAGUAACGCGUACACAACCUACCUAUAACAGGGGGAUAGCCACUGGAAACGGUGAAUAAUACCCCAUAGUAUUACAUUUAUGAUAUAUGAGUAAUUAAAGUUCCGGCGGUUAUAGAUGGGUGUGCGUACGAUUAGCUAGUUGGUAAGGUAACGGCUUACCAAGGCGACGAUGGGUAGGGGGCGUGAGAGCGUGACC
rnacentral:rRNA from 1 species